UUCCGGUUGAUCCUGCCGGACCCGACCGCUAUCGGGGUAGGGCUAAGCCAUGCGAGUCGCGCGCCCGGGGGCGCCCGGGAGCGGCGCACGGCUCAGUAACACGUGCCUAACCUAUCCUCGGGAGGGGGAUACCCCCGGGAAACUGGGGUCAAUCCCCCAUAGGGGAAGGGAGCUGGAAGGCCCCUUCCCCGAAAGGGACGGCGGCCGAUCCGUCGCCGUCCGCCCGAGGGUGGGGGCACGGCCCAUCAGGUAGUUGGCGGGUUAAAGGCCCGCCAAGCCGAAGACGGGUAGGGGCGGUGAGAGCCGCGAGCCCCGAGAUCGGCACUGAGACAAGGGCCGAGGCCCUACGGGGUGCAGCAGGCGCGAAUACUCCGCAAUGCGGGCAACCGCGACGGGGCUACCCCGAGUGCCGGGCGAAGAGCCCGGCUUUUGCCCGGUGUAAAAAGCCGGGCGAAUAAGCGGGGGGCAAGUCUGGUGUCAGCCGCCGCGGUAAUACCAGCCCCGCGAGACCGGGGCGCCCCGCGGAUGAGUUAUAACCCUCCUCCCACCCAUCUUCCGUGGAAGAAGACAGGCUGUAUAUAGCGGGGGUCAUCAUGGGGGAUGGCAUGCUCUACUACAAGGCCGAUAAAGGCUAUGAGAUAAAGAUAACAGAUAAAGACGAGAACUACAUAAGAUACCUCGCCGCGCUUAUUGGCAUGGUUUACGGCGUGGAGCCGCGCAUAUCGCGAACCGCCCACAAAAAUGCCUGGCAGCUACGUAUCUACAGGAAGAGCGUAUAUCUUGCAGUGCUACAAGACGUAGAGAAAGCUGUAAAAGAGCCAAAUAGGCAUACAGUAGGAGGCUUAUACGACGCUGAGGGUAGCUGGAACCCCGCGAAAAGAAAGCUGACCUUCUCGAACAAAGAUCCCCAGAUAAUAGCCCUAGUUGUGCAGUUCUUGAAACUACAUAACAUAAAAUUUUCGGUAUACCAGAGGAGGAAGGCUGAUCACAGCUGGUACGUCGUGGAGACUUACAGGCGACAAGCGGAGCGCCUCAUGUCAAUACUCGAUCUCAGACACCCCAAAUGGAACCCCCACAAACCCUAACAAACCCGCGGGAGCCCCGGCGCGUGUGGUCGGGGUGUUUACUGGGCUUAAAGCGCCCGUAGCCGGCCCGGCAAGUCGCUCCUGAAAUCCCCGGGCUCAACCCGGGGGCGGGGGGCGAUACUGCCGGGCUAGGGGGCGGGAGAGGCCGCCGGUACUCCGGGGGUAGGGGCGAAAUCCGUUAAUCCCCGGAGGACCACCAGUGGCGAAAGCGGGCGGCCAGAACGCGCCCGACGGUGAGGGGCGAAAGCCGGGGGAGCAAACCGGGCCCAGGCCAGCAAGGAUUUAAGGGGCACCCCAUUGAUCUACAUGGGUUGCGAUAAGUAUGGAGUUCUGAGGGUGUUGCCGUUUAUACUAUCGGACGGAGGAAUCUACAAGGCAAGAGAAAUAUAUUUCACAACUACCGAUGUUGCGUUAGUCGAUCACUUCAGGAGAGUUGCGUCAGAGACGUUCAACUACGGAGGCUACGUAGUCAGAAGGAGCAACGGCGCAUACGUGGUAAAAAUAAAGGGCUAUGACUACGUCAGAUGCGUAGAAGGCGUAAUGCCCGAUAUCUUGUACAAAAACGACAUAAGCCGCGCCAUCGCUUUGCCCAGCGACUUGUUCAGAGAUCAAGCUCUCGCAAAGUGGUUCUUAAAGGUAUAUGCCUCUUGCGAUGGAGGCGUGUCAAUUAUGCGCGGAAAAAAGGGAAAUGCGAUAUUCUACGUUAGAAGAAUAUUUAUCACAACCAAAAACCCCCACCUAAGAAGCCAAAUCCGCGAAUUGUUCAAAACCCUCCGGUAUACGCCUCAAGACGACAAAGAUAAACACGUAUACCUAUCAAGAAGAGAAGACAUAAUCAAAUACGCAAGAGAGGUAAGAUUCCUAGAAGAUGUGAAGGUGACUGGGAACUCCAAAAGAUUCCGAGGCCUAGACAAAAACCAAGUGCUUGACCUCGUUGUAAAGUCUUACGAAAAUCCCCACCUACUAGAUCCUUUUUUCAGCCCUUUCAGCCCUAAUUUUUAUCCUCACUUGCUGGCCUGGCCCGGGCUCAAAGGGGAUUAGAUACCCCUGUAGUCCCGGCCGUAAACGAUGCGGGCUAGCUGUCGGUCGGGCUUAGGGCCCGGCCGGUGGCGAAGGGAAACCGUUAAGCCCGCCGCCUGGGGAGUACGGCCGCAAGGCUGAAACUUAAAGGAAUUGGCGGGGGGGCACCACAAGGGGUGAAGCUUGCGGCUUAAUUGGAGUCAACGCCGGAAACCUCACCCGGGGCGACAUCAGGAUGAAGGCCAGGCUAACGACCUUGCCGGACGAGCUGAGAGGAGGUGCAUGGCCGUCGUCAGCUCGUGCCGUGAGGUGUCCGGUUAACGGGAGGGGGGCGGCCAAAGUUAUAUACCUCCUCAUCCUCCUCAAGUCAUGGGGGUGGCUGGAGUACCUCGCCGGCCUUGUGGCAGGUGACGGGACGUUUCAUUACAGCAAAGGAAAUGGCUCAUAUCGCGUGACCAUAGCCGACUCGGAUCGGGCGUUUCUUGAACAUAUAAGGGCUAAGACCUAUGAAAGCCUGGGCUACAGCGGCUAUAUCUACAAAAUACUGGGCAAAAACGCAUGGGCGCUUCGCUAUACCCGCAAAGCUCUUUACACGGCUCUAUUAGAAAGGAUCCCGACGUUGCUUGUAAGCCCCACUCUCGACUUCGCCGCCGGCAUAAUAGACGCGGAGGGCAGUCUCCAGAAGCCGAGAAGAGGCAGUCUGCGCAUAGUAGUCGUCAAUACAAAGAUCGAGUUGCUAGAGGCUGUGCGGAAUGCCUUAGAACCUAUCGUCCCGGGGCUGAAGAUAAGGCCAUACGGAAAGCCCAAGGGCAAGGAAAAGCAGAGGUACAGAUUAAUAGUAUACGGAAAAGAAAACGUGCAAAAGGUGCUUGCAACAACCCCCCUCCAGCACCCUAAGUUCAAACCCGUUUUUUAGACCUAUUAAACCUAACCAAAGGCCGCCCCCUCCCGGCCGAGAGUCCGGCAACGAGCGAGACCCCCGCCCCUAGUUGCUACCCCGUCCUACGGGACGGGGGGCACACUAGGGGGACUGCCGGCGUAAGCCGGAGGAAGGAGGGGGCCACGGCAGGUCAGUAUAGGGGCCUAUCCGCAAGGAGGGCCCCGCUGAGGCCCCGAAAGCCGUGGCCCCCAGGUAGGGUAUUAAUAAAAGAAUAGUAUCAGGCGUGAAGACUUGGGACUACCUAUGCGGCUUAGUAGCAGCAGAUGGACACCUCGACGAGGAUGGUAGCAUAACAAUAUCCCAAAAAGAUAAGAGAUUCGCGGAAAGGAUAGUAGAGCUGUUGAAAGGAGCUGGGAUACAGAUAAGUUCGGUGUUCUACGACAAAGGCGCCGGUGUCUGGAAAAUAAAGAUCAAAGACAAAGCCUUUUACCACUACUUAAUCAGCAACGGCGUCCCGCCAGGCAGAAAGGCGCACCGCAUAAUGCCGCCGAGCCCCGCAGUUGAUCCCUUAUGGUACAUUGCAGGGUUCAUAGACGGAGACGGCUGGUUAGAACAAGUGGUCAAAAAGGCCAAGGGCAGGACCUACUACUACAUACGCAUAGGCCUAAAAACCAAGAGCAAAAACCUCAGGGACUGGGUCUUACAAGCCCUGGCCGGCCUGGGCAUCCGGGCCAACAAGGCAGAUAAAAAAACGGAUACGAAGUCCACAUAGACAGCGCAGACGUCUGGCGCAUCAUCCCAUACCUCCAAAACCCAUCCCACCUCGACAAGGCCAGGUCGGCCAGGGACGACAGGCUCUAGCCUUCCUCCAGCCCUACCUGGGGCCACGGCCGGGAGACCCCGGGGCUGCACGCGAGCUGCAAUGGCGGGGACAGCGGGAUCCGACGCCGAAAGGGGGAGGCAAUCCCGUAAACCCCGCCCCAGUAGGGAUCGAGGGCUGCAACUCGCCCUCGUGAACGUGGAAUCCCUAGUAACCGCGUGUCACCAACGCGCGGUGAAUACGUCCCUGCCCCUUGCACACACCGCCCGUCGCACCACCCGAGGGAGCCCUCUGCGAGGCCCCUCGCCGAAGAGGUGGGGGGACGAGCAGGGGGCUCCCAAGGGGGGUGAAGUCGUAACAAGGUAACCGU
rnacentral:misc_RNA from 1 species